AGCCUCUCAGGGUCGCACCUGGAGAGUUUCCAGUACUUUACCAGUCUCGGCUACAGAAGGGAGAGUCAAGCAGCGGCUUGUCCAUUCCAUUCCUAGCUUGGGCAGUGGCUAGCAAGUGGAAGGCAAUCUGCUUCAAGU